UUUACAAAGAGCAUAUAAUCUGCCAAAAUACCUAAUCGCGUAGGUCUGUUAAGUUCAGACCCAUUCUUUAAAAAACAAAAGGAUGUCCAAGCGUG
rnacentral:sRNA from 2 species